GGCAGUUCUUGGGUGACACACCCCGGAAUCGGGCUCCCUCCUCUCUGGUUCUGGGUGCAUCACUCGAGAACCGCA
rfam:Myotis lucifugus cont2.17096, whole genome shotgun sequence.